UUGACCUCGGAUCAGGUAGGGAUACCCGCUGAACUUAAGCAUAUCAAUAAGCGGAGGAAAAGAAACCAACAGGGAUUGCCUCAGUAACGGCGAGUGAAGCGGCAAGAGCUCAAAUUUGAAAGCUGGCCCCCUCGGGGUCCGCAUUGUAAUUUGCAGAGGAUGCUUCGGGAGUGGCCCCCAUCUAAGUGCUCUGGAACGGGCCGUCAUAGAGGGUGAGAAUCCCGUAUGGGAU
rnacentral:rRNA from 1 species